UAACACAUGCAAGUCGAGCGGAAACGAGUUAACUGAACCUUCGGGGGACGUUAACGGCGUCGAGCGGCGGACGGGUGAGUAAUGCCUAGGAAGUUGCCCAGUAGAGGGGGAUAACCAUUGGAAACGAUGGCUAAUACCGCAUAACCUCUUCGGAGCAAAGCAGGGGACCUUCGGGCCUUGCGCUAUUGGAUACGCCUAGGUGGGAUUAGCUAGUUGGUGAGGUAAUGGCUCACCAAGGCGACGAUCCCUAGCUGGUCUGAGAGGAUGAUCAGCCACACUGGAACUGAGACACGGUCCAGACUCCUACGGGAGGCAGCAGUGGGGAAUAUUGCACAAUGGGCGAAAGCCUGAUGCAGCCAUGCCGCGUGUGUGAAGAAGGCCUUCGGGUUGUAAAGCACUUUCAGCAGUGAGGAAGGCAUUAAGACUAAUACUCUUAGUGUUUGACGUUAGCUGCAGAAGAAGCACCGGCUAACUCCGUGCCAGCAGCCGCGGUAAUACGGAGGGUGCGAGCGUUAAUCGGAAUUACUGGGCGUAAAGCGCAUGCAGGUGGUGGAUUAAGUCAGAUGUGAAAGCCCGGGGCUCAACCUCGGAACUGCAUUUGAAACUGGUUCACUAGAGUACUGUAGAGGGGGGUAGAAUUUCAGGUGUAGCGGUGAAAUGCGUAGAGAUCUGAAGGAAUACCGGUGGCGAAGGGCGGCCCCCUGGACAGAUACUGACACUCAGAUGCGAAAGCGUGGGGAGCAAACAGGAUUANAUACCCUGGUAGUCCACGCCGUAAACGAUGUCUACUUGG
rnacentral:rRNA from 1 species